rnacentral:rRNA from 1 species
UACGUAGGGGGCUGGCGUUGUCCGGAAUCAUUGGGCGUAAAGAGCGUGUAGGCGGCCCGGUAAGUCCGCUGUAAAAGUCAAAGGCUCAACCUUUGAAUGUCAGUGGAUACUGCCGGGCUAGAGUCCGGAAGAGGCGAGUGGAACUCCUGGUGUAGCGGUGGAAUGCGCAGAUAUCAGGAGGAACACCCGUAGCGAAGGCGGCACUCUGGGCCGAUACUGACACUGAGGAGCGAAAGCGUGGGGAGCGAACAGG